CACAGCAGGUUUAUCUUCAGAUCAUAUAAAUCUUUCACCUUUUACUAAAGAUUUCUGUGGAGAGGAACAUAUAAGCAGAAAUAAGCAGUUCUUUAAUAACAGGGCAGCAC
rnacentral:snRNA from 1 species